rnacentral:rRNA from 1 species
GUGUCAGCCGCCGCGGUAAUACGGAGGGUGCAAGCGUUGUUCGGAAUUACUGGGCGUAAAGCGCGUGUAGGCGGUCGGGCAAGUCAGAUGUGAAAGCCUUCCGCUUAACGGAAGAAGUGCAUUUGAAACUACCCGGCUGGAGUACGGGAGAGGAGAGUGGAAUUCCCGGUGUAGAGGUGAAAUUCGUAGAUAUCGGGAGGAACACCAGUGGCGAAGGCGGCUCUCUGGUCCGAUACUGACGCUGAGACGCGAAAGCGUGGGGAGCAAACAGGAUUAGAUACCCUGGUAGUCCACGCCGUAAACGAUGGGCACUAGGUGUAGGAGGUAUUGACCCCUUCUGUGCCGAAGUUAACGCAUUAAGUGCCCCGCCUGGGGAGUACGGCCGCAAGGUUAAAACUCAAAGGAAUUGACGGGG